rnacentral:rRNA from 1 species
AUUUUAUAUUAUUUAUGAUUAAUUCCUUACUUGAUAAAUAUUGAAUUUUCUAUUAAAAUUAAUAAAGAUUUAAUUGUUUUUAUUUAAAAAAUAUUACAUAUAAAAAAGAAAUUGUGUUUUGAAGAUUAAUGAAGUAGAAUUAAAUUUUUUACCUUUGGUAUCAGGGGGAGUGGAUAAAAUUUUUUAAAAAAUUUUCCCGAAUAUGAAUGAUUUAUUUUUAGUUUAUAAUAAUGUUAAAAAAUUAUGUAAAAUUAAAUAAUGGUAGUUAUAUAUUAUUCGGAUUCAUAGUUAUCUGGUUUUUAGUUUUUUAGUUUAAUGUAAAUACAUAGGUAAGGAAAAUCUUACCGAUGCUUAUUAUGAAUGAAAGUUUAUUUAUAAUAUAAAUAAUAAAAAAAAACAAUAAGUUAAAUAAAAAAACUUAAAAGAUUAUCACUUUAUUAUUAUUUAAAUAAAAUUAAAAAUUUGAACUCGGCAAAUUUUCACCGACGCUUGUCUCCCAAAAACAUCUCUUAAAGUUAAAUUUUUAAGUAAGGCCUGCCCAUUGAUAUAAUUUUAACGGCAGCGGUACUCUGACCGUAUAAAGGUAGCAUAAUCACUUGGCUUUUUAUUGAGGUCUGGUAUGAAUGGCUUAACGAUUGGUUAACUUUAAUUUUUUAAAUAAAAGAAAUUAAAAUUUAAGUUAAAAUUCUUAAAUUGUAUAAGGGGACGAGAAGACCCUAUAGAUCUUUACAUUUAUAUUAUUAAUGUUUAGUUGGGGCGAUUUAAGAAAUUAACUUCUGUGAUUAUUAGUUUAUCAAAUUAUAAAAAAGAAGGUCAUUAUUUAUCUAUAUGAAAAGUUACCUUAGGGAUAACAGAGUGAUAUUAAAUGAGGAAAAUUAUUUGAAUUUAAGAUUGCGACCUCGAUGUUGAAUUAGGAUAUUUAUCAUAAGCACAACUUUGGUGAAUUAGUCUGUUCGACUAUUCAAACCCUACAUGAUUUGAGUUCAGACCGACGAAAGUCAGGUCAGUUUCUAUCUUUUAUAAAAAAUUUUUUUAGGGUACGAAAGGACAUUUAAAAAGUUUAUAAAAUUUAAAAUUAAGA